AAUCUUCCACAAUGGGCGAAAGCCUGAUGGAGCAACGCCGCGUGAGUGAAGAAGGUUUUCGGAUCGUAAAACUCUGUUGUAAGGGAAGAACAAGUACAGUAGUAACUGGCUGUACCUUGACGGUACCUUAUUAGAAAGCCACGGCUAACUACGUGCCAGCAGCCGCGGUAAUACGUAGGUGGCAAGCGUUGUCCGGAAUUAUUGGGCGUAAAGCGGGGGAAGGGGGUCCUUUAAGUCUGAUGUGAAAGCCCACGGGUCAAACGGGGAAGGUCAUUGGAAACUGGGGGACUUGAGUGCAGAAGAGGAAAGUGGAAUUCCAAGUGUAGCGGUGAAAUGCGUAGAGAUUUGGAGGAACACCAGUGGCGAAGGCGGCUUGCUGGACAUUAACUGACGCUGAGGCGCGAAAGCGUGGGGAGCAAACA
rnacentral:rRNA from 1 species